rnacentral:rRNA from 1 species
AGAGUUUGAUCAUGGCUCAGAUUGAACGCUGGCGGCAGGCCUAACACAUGCAAGUCGAGCGGAAACGAGUUAUCUGAACCUUCGGGGAACGAUAACGGCGUCGAGCGGCGGACGGGUGAGUAAUGCCUAGGAAAUUGCCCUGAUGUGGGGGAUAACCAUUGGAAACGAUGGCUAAUACCGCAUGAUGCCUACGGGCCAAAGAGGGGGACCUUCGGGCCUCUCGCGUCAGGAUAUGCCUAGGUGGGAUUAGCUAGUUGGUGAGGUAAGGGCUCACCAAGGCAACGAUCCCUAGCUGGUCUGAGAGGAUGAUCAGCCACACUGGAACUGAGACACGGUCCAGACUCCUACGGGAGGCAGCAGUGGGGAAUAUUGCACAAUGGGCGCAAGCCUGAUGCAGCCAUGCCGCGUGUGUGAAGAAGGCCUUCGGGUUGUAAAGCACUUUCAGUCGUGAGGAAGGUAGUGUAGUUAAUAGCUGCAUUAUUUGACGUUAGCGACAGAAGAAGCACCGGCUAACUCCGUGCCAGCAGCCGCGGUAAUACGGAGGGUGCGAGCGUUAAUCGGAAUUACUGGGCGUAAAGCGCAUGCAGGUGGUUUGUUAAGUCAGAUGUGAAAGCCCGGGGCUCAACCUCGGAAUAGCAUUUGAAACUGGCAGACUAGAGUACUGUAGAGGGGGGUAGAAUUUCAGGUGUAGCGGUGAAAUGCGUAGAGAUCUGAAGGAAUACCGGUGGCGAAGGCGGCCCCCUGGACAGAUACUGACACUCAGAUGCGAAAGCGUGGGGAGCAAACAGGAUUAGAUACCCUGGUAGUCCACGCCGUAAACGAUGUCUACUUGGAGGUUGUGGCCUUGAGCCGUGGCUUUCGGAGCUAACGCGUUAAGUAGACCGCCUGGGGAGUACGGUCGCAAGAUUAAAACUCAAAUGAAUUGACGGGGGCCCGCACAAGCGGUGGAGCAUGUGGUUUAAUUCGAUGCAACGCGAAGAACCUUACCUACUCUUGACAUCCAGAGAACUUUCCAGAGAUGGAUUGGUGCCUUCGGGAACUCUGAGACAGGUGCUGCAUGGCUGUCGUCAGCUCGUGUUGUGAAAUGUUGGGUUAAGUCCCGCAACGAGCGCAACCCUUAUCCUUGUUUGCCAGCGAGUAAUGUCGGGAACUCCAGGGAGACUGCCGGUGAUAAACCGGAGGAAGGUGGGGACGACGUCAAGUCAUCAUGGCCCUUACGAGUAGGGCUACACACGUGCUACAAUGGCGCAUACAGAGGGCGGCCAACUUGCGAAAGUGAGCGAAUCCCAAAAAGUGCGUCGUAGUCCGGAUUGGAGUCUGCAACUCGACUCCAUGAAGUCGGAAUCGCUAGUAAUCGUGGAUCAGAAUGCCACGGUGAAUACGUUCCCGGGCCUUGUACACACCGCCCGUCACACCAUGGGAGUGGGCUGCAAAAGAAGUAGGUAGUUUAACCUUCGGGGGGACGCUUACCACUUUGUGGUUCAUGACUGGGGUGAAGUCGUAACAAGGUAGCGCUAGGGGAACCUGGCGCUGGAUCACCU